AUGAAAAUAACAAUAUUGUCACUAAAUUCAUUUUUCUUCAUUUUUCUUCACCUGUUCCUAUCUAGGGUUUUUUCGUAUUUUCUUUCCCAGUGCCAUACCUUCAGUCCAUUCCAUGAACAGACACAAAUUUGUUUCAAAGGGAGUAACAUCCCCUUAUUCACUGACUCUAAGAAAAUAUUAGAUCGCUAAUGCACUGUGGCUUUGACCAAGUUGGUUGUUUUCAAAACAUUUUGGGAAAUAUGCUUAUUUGCUUUCUUGCUUGGAGCUAGAUGAGCCAGUUAACUUAACUUACAGUCCAUAUUCUAAGCUAAGCUAACUAUCUUGUGGAUGUAGCUUUAUAUUUAACGGACACACAUGAGAAGGAUAGAGACAUUUGCGUCUAUCAGCAAGAAAGUGAAUAAGCUUAUUUCCCAAAAUGUCAAGCUUUUUUCUUCUUUUCUUAUUCAUUCAUCUCCAUUCCAAAAUAACAAACGUGUGCCGUUUUCCCUCAAUUUUCUUCAUGUGAAAACAGCAUUUAAACCACCUCCGGACACUAAAGCUAAAGUAUGAUCAAAUCAGAGGAGGAAGACAGGGAUGGUUUAUACCUACUCAACAAAAGGCCAAUAUCUGCCUGAUAAAAGUAUCUAAAUUACAAUACAAUUAUUUGAUUUAAGUAGUGUUAGUCUACCAUGUUUAAUUUUGCACCACAAGUACUCAGCUAGUCAUCUUCAUAGCCUUCAGCCUGUCGGCCUCCUCUUGAUAAUACAUCUUUGGCUUUAUGCAACAUACAAUCGUGAUUAGGUAUCAUUUAGUUUUUAAGAGGUUACAAAAACGUUAAUAUUUAAUGACAUUUGAGGGAAAAUACUUUAUGUAAAGCAAACCAAUCUACGCCAGUAGAGAUUUAUUUUGUACAAAGCGUGUCCUUUCUGUCUUUAUACGUGUUGACAAGGCUCUUUCACCAGCUGUGGCGUUUCUCACUAUUUCUGUGGUUCAUGUUUGUGUAAAUAUACUGUCUGCUUAACACAGAAACACUUGGUCAAGUUUGAAAAAAAAGAAAAUCCAAUCAAGGAAGCUGUGUACAGUCUGUGUGUAAACACUGAUUCCCGAAGAAAGAGAGAGAGAGUGAGAGAGAGACAAAUACUGUGUGUGUGUGUGUGUGUGUGUGUGUGUGUGUGUGUGUGUGUGUGUGUGUGUGUGUG